rnacentral:rRNA from 1 species
GUGCCAGCAGCCGCGGUAAUACGGAGGGCGCAAGCGUUGCUCGGAAUUACUGGGCGUAAAGCGCGUGCAGGCGGUCGAGUAAGUCGGUUGUGAAAUCCCCAGGCUCAACCUGGGAACUGCAUCCGAAACUGCUCGGCUAGAGUCCCGGAGAGGGAGGCGGAACUCCCAGUGUAGGGGUGAAAUCCGUAGAUAUUGGGAAGAACACCGGAGGCGAAAGCGGCCUCCUGGACGGUGACUGACGCUGAGACGCGAAAGCGUGGGGAGCAAACAGGAUUAGAUACCCUGGUAGUCCACGCCGUAAACGUUGCGCACUAGGUGUCGGGAGAUUCACCCUCUCGGUGCCGACGCUAACGCAUUAAGUGCGCCGCCUGGGGAGUACGGCCGCAAGGCUAAAACUCAAAGGAAUUGACGG